CAGAAGUAGAGAGCUUUAUAUAAGCAGUUUCUUCUACUGAGUAAGCUCUGCUUCCCGGCCUUUCACCUGGUCAUAUCUUAUCCAUCACUGAAGGUCCAGAAAGACAAGCCAUAAUCAUAUCCCAGCACUGCCACCUGGC